rnacentral:lncRNA from 1 species
CAAAAACUGGAUUAUUUUUAUCAUAAGAGUGUUGCAAGUCAAGGCCGGCCAAGAUGAAUGCCUAGUCAAUCCAGAACAAGAUGGUGACGUGCGACGAGGCGGCAUUUGAUCCUGUUAGAACAGAAUAUCAGCGAGUUAUGAUUAUUUUGUUAAAAGCUGUUCAACAGCUAGAAUUAACUUGUAUGUCCUUUUUCUAUGCAUUACAUUUUGUACCGUUGAUACCGCUGGCGGCGAGGCUACGUACUCGACCAUCAAAGUGCGUUCCGUGAACGCACUCCGACCGGAGUGCGCUCUUCUGCGAGUACACUCAGCUUGCGACGUUUAGAUGUGGGAAAGUGCACUUGAAACCGCGUGCACUCUUCGUAAGUGCACUUAACUUGCACGCUUGACAGGGCUGCUCUGCUCUGUUUCCUUGGUGCAACUGUUUGCGGUGCAGCAAAGUGUUAUGCCUCGAAUGAUGCCUAGGCAGUCAAGGCGUUAGUGUCAGAAAGCAAGCUGUAAAUGUUGUACAAGUUGCAAAAGAAAUUUUGAUUGUACAAGAGGAGCGAAUGCAAUCAACAUAAACUGUUUUUUACGAAUAAUUAAGUUGUAUUACUAAAGCAGGGAGUAGAUAUGCAUGGAAAUCGGAUUGUAUUGUUACUUAGCAGGUACAAGGUAACAUCAUUACUAAUGAAUUAUUUUCUUUUACUGAAAGACUAGUUGCUGUUGCCCUGCUGGAGCUGAGAAGAGGUUUGCUGCCUGUAAUGUGUCCAUCUCUCUCAAGUUAUCGCAGUAUUGUUGCUGUCAAAGGGGUGGAUAGCACAUCAGGCUCCCUCGACCGAAGCCAACCUUGUCCCCGAAGGUGGUGCUUCAAGACUUUGCAGCAGCAUUUCCUUUGCACGGCCUGUGGAGACAAGGUUUCUUGGACAUGGUCAUGGCCCUCAAGAAUGAUGCCGUGGCCACAGCAGUUGACUGCAAAAACCAAGAUCAUAAGCAGUUCCUCCAGCGACCACGAAAAGGCCCCUGGGGCACCGGUCUAAUUCGGCGCCACCACUUUUCUCCUGCAGCUUUUCUACCUACUUAGCUAACCAGCAGCAAGGCUAUCCUUGCAAGGCGUUUGGGGUCAAGAACAACUUUCACCAGGAAAGAGUGCAAGACGAGUGAUUGAAGAAAAUAAAGUUGCUUCUGUGAUCUAAAGAA